UUAAGGUUAAUGUAGCUUAAAACCA
rnacentral:tRNA from 1 species